rnacentral:rRNA from 1 species
UACGUAGGGGGCAAGCGUUGUCCGGAAUCAUUGGGCGUAAAGAGCGUGUAGGCGGCCCGGUAAGUCCGCUGUAGAAGUCAAAGGCUUAACCUUUGAAUGUCAGUGGAUACUGCCGGGCUAGAGUCCGGAAGAGGCGAGUGGAACUCCUGGUGUAGCGGUGGAAUGCGCAGAUAUCAGGAAGAACACCAACGGCGAAGGCAGCUCGCUAGGACGGUACUGACGCUGAGACGCGAAAGCGUGGGGAGCGAACAGG